CCUACGGGAGGCAGCAGUAAGGAAUAUUGGACAAUGGGCGCAAGCCUGAUCCAGCCAUGCCGCGUGCAGGAUGAAGGUGCUCUGCAUUGUAAACUGCUUUUGUUUGGGAAUAAACCCUUCUACGUGUAGAGGGCUGAAUGUACCAAAAGAAUAAGGGACGGCUAACUUCGUGCCAGCAGCCGCGGUAAUACGAAGGUCCCAAGCGUUAUCCGGAUUUAUUGGGUUUAAAGGGUGCGUAGGCGGGUUAUUAAGUCAGUGGUGAAAGCCUACAGCUUAACUGUAGAAUUGCCAUUGAUACUGAUGAUCUUGAGUAUGAUUGAGGUGGGCGGAAUGUGUCAUGUAGCGGUGAAAUGCUUAGAUAUGACACAGAACACCGAUUGCGAAGGCAGCUCACUAAGUCAUGACUGACGCUGAUGCACGAAAGCGUGGGGAGCAAACAGGAUUAGAUACCCUGGUAGUCCACGCCCUAAACGAUGAUCACUCGAUGUGUGCGAUACACUGUACGCGUCUGNGNGAAGACAUAGUGAGUCCGACCGUGGGUAGGUACGACCCGACCGAGGUUAGGUUAACGUUACGAAGUUAGAGUUAGGACGGCGUUGGAGACGNGCCGAGGACGACGACGACGGGAGGUAAGG
rnacentral:rRNA from 1 species